ensembl:lincRNA
AAAGGAGAAAGGGUAGAACUCAUUCUUUAACCAUUCUACCUACAGUUGGGAAGAUGUGUGGGAGGAAUUUAGAGCCACCCUGGAGUCAGCGAGGUCUGAACCCAGUAGAAGGAUACUUUAACUUGGAGAACACUUUGAAACAGUUUAAGAAUUUCUACUCAGACAGCUUCUCUGAGACCUGGAACAAGACAUGUGGAAAACAGUAACUUAGCAAAGAGAAAAAAAGUAGAGCUCUGGGAAUGAAGAAUGAACUGAUAAGAAAACUAGAAGCUACAGAGAAACUAAGGGAACUACAGAUAUUGUAGAGAAAAUUAUAAAGCAGUCUGGACUGCUAAUCCCAGGUCCUGGGGAUGAGGUGUUGUCUCCACAAACACAAGAUAUGUUCAGAAAGGUCAGAAGCCCCAAGAAGAAACCACAGGCCAGCCCACUAGCCCAACAAAACACAUGGGUAAACUGCAAAUAGAGCAUGAGGUUUUACUCUGAAAAUUAUUUCCUCCACAUAACAGGAUAAAGUUGGAGAAUAAAUUCACUGCAGUGUCUGCUACACUUAGGGGCAAUAUAAUCAGAAGCAACU